rnacentral:lncRNA from 1 species
UUUUUGCUGAGCUAGGAGGAUGUGCAUAUUUGCCACAGAUUGACCCAUUUUAAACCCUUUAACAGCCUGGAGGAAUCCCUGUUUGUCAUUUAUUCAGACCAGGCAUGCGCUCCCAUUCGUGAACAUUGCCAACAAAUGUGUCACUUCCCAUUUCCUUAAAAAGCUCCCAAACUCGUGCCCAGUUUAUAGCCUUGCUUCAAUUCUGCUGGAGGAGUUUCACUGUGGCAGAUUUAGGCUGAGGAAAUUGCUAAAUUGCUUUAAGGUGAAGAAAAUCUUCUGAUGUAUUUAAACUCGAACUGAAUCUUCAGGAAUCUGAAUUGUGAGUUACGAUGCUCAAUUCAAUUCAGCAAGCUUUUAGUAAGCACCCAUUCUGAACCAUGUGCUGAGCCCAACCCUUGGUGGGAGAAGGGUAGCCAGAAGGGGUAAGAUGUGGUUUCUGCUUUGUGAAGCCAGAGGCAGAGAUGAUGAGCCAGGGAAGGGGAGUGCGAAGAGAGGAAAAUUCUAUGAACGGAAAUAACCCAUCUCAAGGUUUAGUGUGGUACAGGGCAAUAGAGUAGUCAGGGGUGAAGGGGCCUCUUUUAAAACCAUCUUGGAUGGAGUUCCCAUCAUGGCUCAGUGGAAAAGAUUCUAUCGUCCAUGAGGACGCAGGUUCGAUCCUUGGCCUCACUCAGUGGGUUCAGGAUCUGGCGUUGCUGUGGCGAAUACUAAUCUAUGGUGGGAAAAAAACCAGAAGAGCAGUUGUCUUUAGUGGGAGAAGGUAGGAAUUGACUGUGAAGAUUAUAAGGGAACAUUCAGAGUUCCCGUCGUGGUACGGUGGAAAUGAAUCCCACUAGGAACCAUGAGGUUGGGGGUUCGAUCCCUGGCCUCACUCAGUGGGUUAAAGAGCUGGCGUUGCCAUGAGCACUGGUAUAGGUCACGGAUGUGGCUCGGAUCCUGCAUUGCUGUGACUGUAGUGUAGGCCAGCAGCUACAGCUCCAAUUCGACCCCUAGCCUGGGAAUCUCCAUGGGUAUGCCAUGGGUAUGGCCCUAAAAAGACCAAAAACAACAACAACAAACCUCAAGGUCACAGCACAAGCCAGAGAAAGGGACCCUUUUAACAUAUCCCAUCUGAGGGGCGUGGUCUCCCUUAGGAUCUCAGUGUCAUGGAGAUCUGAAGAUUCAACUCAGAAACAGUAAUUACAUGAAGCCCCCCCCCAUCCUUCCAUACUGCUAUCGCACGCUUCUCUUCCUACAGCUCCAAUUCAGGUUGUACACAUAAUGCCAUCAUUUUCUGCUGAUGUAUCAUGUCCGUAGUGCUUGGAAUACGGUUCUCUUGAAGAUAUAGAGCCAGCCACUGGCAGCAGCAAAUGGUCCCUCCCCAGGGCACUGUGAAAUGUAGUUACCUAUUUGUUGAGACAAUAUAUUACUGACUGUCCUUAACUGCACCGAGAGACCUGCAAACCCAUCCCCAGCUGGCUUAUUUUUCUGUUGAACAAGACAGAAGUGAAACAUGGUAUAAUGCAGAAGAGGAACUCCCUUCUUUGUCUAAAUGGCUCCAGAAGGUGAUUGUUGGGGAGUUUUUCUUGGAACCCCCCCCCCCCCCGGCCAGGUAGCAAUGGACUUGACCUCCAGAGGUCUUAGCAUGAAGAUCCACCUUGACACGUUGGUAUAAUUCAGAUUAAAUUACUGCUGAGCCAUAUGAUCUGUGAAAGAAAGUCCAAAAUAUUUCUAUGUUUUCAUUCAUUAUGAUAAGUCAGAGUUCCUUUUUGGAAAUAUCCAUAUUCUUUCAAGAAACUUUUUUCUCCAUUUUUUAUGUCUCUACCCUGCCCAUCUGCUCAGUUGGCCUCUUGGGAAGGCCAGUCCUGUGGGUGUGCUGACAUGUUGCUUAUAACAGAGGGAGCACUUAAGCCUCCUCUCAGGAAGUACCCACCUCUCUGUCUCCUGGACCAGACUGUGAACUCAUCCAGGCCUGGAACAGUGUUUCUUUCAGAAUGGGUGCUACAGGUCCUGGCUCAUGGCAGGGGGUGGGGGAGACUCUGCUGAAUGAGUCUUUUGCUUUAGAGUCUUAACAGCCUAGGCAAGUGGAUAGUUUGGCAGCCAAGGCUAAUGGAAAGGGAAAAUGAAUGGGGAUCAUGCAGGACUGGAGCCUAGGAGCAUCAUAUGGGCUGGGAGGAACCCUUGGAGAGAAAUCAAGGUCUACUAGAUAAUGAUUGGGGGUAAACUUACCUUUGGCUGGCACAGUUAUCUGUCUGUUUAGAGGAGGUGGGGGUCCGGUGGGUGGGGCAUAAGGACAGAAGGUUCUGUGUGAUCAUAGACAUUUUGUUUCUGGGAGAAUAGACCAUUCAGAACAGGACCUUGCAGCUUGAAGUACUGGGGUCAGGACCAGCAUCCUGGCCCCCAUCCAGGCUAAUAGAUAUUAGCCAAGAAUGCAAGACAUGGGAAUUGAGGCAUCACUUGUAUCGGACACAGAAAGACUCUGACCUGAUGGACACGGGGUGUUCAGUGCUCUCUUCAGGUGCUAAAUCUUUGGCCACAAGAGUAAGCCUAGGUCCUCUUCUCAGGUGGCGCUGUGGUUCCUGAUCCUAACAUGUUCGAGCCUCUAGGGGGAGCUCAAGACUCCACAUGGGAACUCCAGAGCGUAAAACCAACGGGUCAAAGGCAACAUCAUGUGUUUGGAUCACACUCUAAGGGGCAGAGUGUUCAGAGAAAAGAAGUUUAAAUUCUAUUUCCUUUUAGAUUGUUUCACUCUCAUUCACCAACACUCAGUGUUCUUGCUCUCUCCUUUGCUAUUAGAGACAAAAGGGGGGCAAAUGUCACAUCCCAUGUCCUAGUAGAGAUGCCUGCAUAGGAGGUCAGUGUCUCCACAGAGCAGGAAAGACAGAUGCUGAUAAAAGUGAUGACUCUGGUGACAGAGUCUUGCCCUGUGUAGCAAGUCUGAAGCCUAAGGAAUUUUAAAGGCAGCUAUUUUCAACAGUGCCCUGAAAAUGUACAUCUUAAACAGCAGAUCUAGCACAUGACCUAACACUGAAUCCAUUAAAAUGGGAACUGCGAGCUUAUUUCUAAAGCCUUUACUAAUGCUGCUUUG